GACGAACGCUGGCGGCGUGCCUAACACAUGCAAGUCGAACGGGACUUAAGGGGCUUGCUCCUUAAGUUUAGUGGCGAACGGGUGAGUAACGCGUGAGAAACCUGCCUCUCAGUGGGGGACAACAGUUGGAAACGACUGCUAAUACCGCAUAAUGUAUUCGGAGGGCAUCCCUUUAAUACCAAAGCUUUAUGUGCUGAAAGAUGGUCUCGCGUCUGAUUAGCUAGAUGGCGGGGUAACGGCCCACCAUGGCGACGAUCAGUAGCCGGUCUGAGAGGAUGAACGGCCACAUUGGGACUGAGAUACGGCCCAGACUCCUACGGGAGGCAGCAGUGGGGAAUAUUGGGCAAUGGGGGAAACCCUGACCCAGCAACGCCGCGUGAAGGAAGAAGGCUUUCGGGUUGUAAACUUCUUUUACCAGGGACGAAGAACGUGACGGUACCUGGAGAAAAAGCAACGGCUAACUACGUGCCAGCCGCCGCGGUAACAC
rnacentral:rRNA from 1 species